rnacentral:rRNA from 1 species
GACGAACGCUGGCGGCGCGCUUAACACAUGCAAGUCGAGCGAGAACCGGGGCUUCGGCCCCGGGGACAGCGGCGAACGGGUGAGUAACACGUGGAUAACCUGCCCUCGGCACCGGGAUAACCCGAGGAAACUCGGAUUAAUACCGGAUGGCCCUUCCGGCCCUCGGGCCGGUCGGAAAAGGUAGCUUCGGCCUCCGGCCGAGGAUGGGUCCGCGGCGGAUUAGCUCGUUGGUGGGGUAACGGCUCACCAAGGCCACGAUCCGUAGCUGGUCUGAGAGGACGAUCAGCCACACUGGGACUGAGACACGGCCCAGACUCCUACGGGAGGCAGCAGUGGGGAAUCUUGCGCAAUGGGCGAAAGCCUGACGCAGCGACGCCGCGUGAGGGAAGAAGGCCUUCGGGUUGUAAACCUCUUUCAGGAGGGACGAAGCUACUCGGGUGAACAGCCCAGAAGGUGACGGUACCUCCAGAAGAAGCCCCGGCUAACUACGUGCCAGCCGCCGCCGUAACAC